CCUUACCUGGUCUUGACAUCCACGGAAGUUUUCAGAGAUGAGAAUGUGCCUUCGGGAACCGUGAGACAGGUGCUGCAUGGCUGUCGUCAGCUCGUGUUGUGAAAUGUUGGGUUAAGUCCCGCAACGAGCGCAACCCUUAUCCUUUGUUGCCAGCGGUCCGGCCGGGAACUCAAAGGAGACUGCCAGUGAUAAACUGGAGGAAGGUGGGGAUGACGUCAAGUCAUCAUGGCCCUUACGACCAGGGCUACACACGUGCUACAAUGGCGCAUACAAAGAGAAGCGACCUCGCGAGAGCAAGCGGACCUCAUAAAGUGCGUCGUAGUCCGGAUUGGAGUCUGCAACUCGACUCCAUGAAGUCGGAAUCGCUAGUAAUCGUGGAUCAAAAUGCCACGGUGAAUACGUUCCCGGGUCUUGUACACACCG
rnacentral:rRNA from 1 species